rnacentral:rRNA from 1 species
CCCUUAGAUGUUCUGGGCCGCACGCGCGCUACACUGAUGCAUUCAACGAGUCUAAAACCUGCUCUGAUAGGGGUGGGUAAUCUUUUGAAUGUGCAUCGUGAUUGGGAUAGAUGAUUGCAAUUUUUCAUCUUCAACGAGGAAUGCCUAGUAAACGCAAGUCAUCAGCUUGCAUUGAUUACGUCCCUGCCCUUUGUACACACCGCCCGUCGCUCCUACCGAUUGAAUGAUACGAUGAAUAUCAUGGAUUGAGGAUUAUAGCAGGUUCGCCUGUCUUGAUCUUCGAGAAGUGAAGUAAAUCUUAUCAUUUAGAGGAAGGAGAAGUCGUAACA